GUGUGUAGCCAGUGUGGUUGUGUUGGUCACUCUAACACGUACAGCACGCCCAAGCUGAUCCUACAAGUGUUCAGUUGGGUUGAGGCCAUUCCAUCCGGUCCACUCCCACACCUGGAGGUAGUGUGUGAUGACAUCAUGACCCUGGCACUAUGGGUCCCAGAUUGUGGACAUAUUGGAACACACUCUUUAACAUGGGCAGAGAAUUAUGGCAACCUUUACUUGGCCGCUUCCCACAUAAUCAUCUGUGCUGCUCAUCCCACAAAUGUGUGAUCCUUACAAGUUGGACAUCAUUGUAAAGGUAAAUAAACAGGCUUUCCAACGAUAUAAAAUACAAGCAUUGUAACAACAGAAAUAAUUGACCAAACUUUUAUUCCCCCCGAGUUUAUUAAGAGCAGAUGGGACUGGAGUUUCUGUACGUAAAGAGGCCUUUAGGUCAAACCCUAAAGGUCAAAGUUCAAAGGUCACGAACCCUAAAGGUCAAAGUUUGUAGGUUUUUGUUUUAGUUUUGUUCUCUUUCCUGCUAGGACUGUUCUUUGGUUCAAUGCUCUUGUGUUUAGCGUUUCUAAUGUGUGCUUCUUAACACAAGAAGUCACACACACACUGUUUCUGAUGUGUGUGCUUCUUAACACGAGUCAUUAAAAC
ensembl:lncRNA